rnacentral:rRNA from 1 species
GACGAACGCUGGCGGCGUGCUUAACACAUGCAAGUCGAACGGUGAAGUGACCGGUUUUUGCUGUUUCUGGAUGAGUGGCGAACGGGUGAGUAACACGUGAGUAACCUGCCCCCUUCUUCUGGAUAACCGCAUGAAAGUGUUGCUAAUACGGGAUAUUCUUCGCCUGCUGCAUGGUGGGUGUGGUAAAGAUAUUGUUUCGGUGGGGGAUGGGCUCGCAGCCUAUCAGCUUGUUGGUGGGGUGAUGGCCUACCAAGGCGGUGACGGGUAGCCGGCCUGAGAGGGUGGGCGGCCACAGGGGGAGGGCGACCACCCCGGGACUGCUAGGGGGGCCAGAAGGGGGGAAUAUGGCACAGUGGGCGCAAGCGUGAUGCGGCGGCGCGGCGGGAGGGGGGGCGCCCUGUGGGUUGUAACCCUCUUUGGCCAGGGAAGCGGGCCUGCCUCUUUUGUGGGUGGUUUGACGGUAGCUGGAAAAGAAGCGCCGGCUAACUACGUG